CAGCCGCCGCGGGAAUACGUAGGGUGCAAGCGUUAAUCGGAAUUACUGGGCGUAAAGCGUGCGCAGGCGGUUAUAUAAGACAGAUGUGAAAUCCCCGGGCUCAACCUGGGAACUGCAUUUGUGACUGUAUAGCUAGAGUACGGCAGAGGGGGAUGGAAUUCCGCGUGUAGCAGUGAAAUGCGUAGAUAUGCGGAGGAACACCGAUGGCGAAGGCAAUCCCCUGGGCCUGUACUGACGCUCAUGCACGAAAGCGUGGGGAGCAAACAGGAUUAGAUACCCCCGUAGUCCCUGUCUCUUAUAC
rnacentral:rRNA from 1 species